rnacentral:rRNA from 1 species
GCCAAACAGCUAGCUUAAAUAAUAAAAAAACUAAACAACAUAAAUAACAAAUCAUAGCACAAAAUGCAUAAAACAAAUCAUUCUACCACCCUAGUAUGGGAGACAGAAAAGGUAACUUUAAGCUAUAGAAAAAGUACCGCAAGGGAAAGCUGAAAGAGAAAUGAAAUAACCCAUAUAAGCAUAAAUAAAGCAGAGACUAAAACUCGUACCUUUUGCAUCAUGAUUUAGCCAGUACUAUUUAAGCAAAGAGUCCUUUAGUUUAAACCCCCGAAACCAAGUGAGCUACCCCGAGACAGCCUAUAUGGGCCAACCCGUCUCUGUGGCAAAAGAGUGGGAAGAGCUCUGGGUAGAGGUGACAGAUCUACCGAACUUGGUGAUAGCUGGUUGCCUGAGAAAUGAAUAAAAGUUCAGCCUCGUUUUCCUUUAAUUAAACAUAAAUAGAUUAAAUAACUAAAAAAAGAGAAAAAUACGAGAGUUAGUUAAAAGGGGUACAGCCCCUUUAACCAAGGAUACAACCUUGCCCAGGAGGAUAAGGAUCAUAUUUUACAAAACUAGUCGUUUUAGUGGGCCUAAAAGCAGCCAUCUAAGCAGAAAGCGUUAAAGCUCAAACGACCAAACAUUAAUUAUACUGAUAAACAAUCCUAUUCCCCUAAAACUACUAGGCCGUCCCAUGCUAACAUGGGAGAGACCAUGCUAAAAUGAGUAACAAGAAGACACACUCUUCUCCAAGCACAAGUGUAAACCAGAUCGGACAAACCACUGGCAAUUAACGAACCCAAAAAAAGAGGGUAAUGUGAAUAACAAAAAAUACAAGAAAAAUCCACAAAUAAUAAUCGUUAAACCCACACUGGAGUGCUAUCACGGAAAGACUAAAAGAAAAGGAAGGAACUCGGCAAACACAAGCCUCGCCUGUUUACCAAAAACAUCGCCUCCUGCAAAUCCCCAAGUAUAGGAGGUCCAGCCUGCCCAGUGACUAUGGGUUCAACGGCCGCGGUAUUUUGACCGUGCAAAGGUAGCGAAAUCACUUGUCUUUUAAAUAAAGACCUGUAUGAAAGGUUAAACGAGGGCUUAGCUGUCUCCCUUUUUAAGUCAGUGAAAUUGAUCUGCCCGUGCAGAAGCGGGCAUAUACAUACAAGACGAGAAGACCCUUUGGAGCUUAAGGUACAAACCCAUCCACGUUAAACAACUACUUUAAAAGCAUGAACUUAAUGGAAAUUGAAGUUUUACCUUCGGUUGGGGCGACCACGGAGAAUAAUUAAUCCUCCAAGCGGACUGGGACUAUAAACCUAAAACCAAGAAAGACAUUUCUAAGUCACAGAAAAUCUGACCAAUAAUGAUCCGGUUGUUAAAACCGAUCAACGAACCAAGUUACCCUAGGGAUAACAGCGCAAUCCCCUCUAAGAGUCCAUAUCGACGAGGGGGUUUACGACCUCGAUGUUGGAUCAGGACAUCCUAAUGGUGCAACCGCUAUUAAGGGUUCGUUUGUUCAACGAUUAAAGUCCUACGUGAUCUGAGUUCAGACCGGAGUAAUCCAGGUCAGUUUCUAUCUGUAACAUUACUUUUUCCUAGUACGAAAGGGCCGGAAAAAGGGGGCCUAUACUCAAAGCACGCCCCACCCCUAUUGAUGAAACCAACUAAAUCAAAUGAAGGGAGAAUAAACCCUCGACCAAUAUAAGGUCAU